rnacentral:rRNA from 1 species
UGCCGGCGACCGGCGGACGGGUGCGUAACGCGUAUGCAACCUACCUUUGACAGGGGGAUAACAUCGAGAAAUUGGUACUAAUACCCCAUAACAUCACCGGAGGCAUCUUCGGUGGUUGAAAACUCAGGUGGUCAGAGAUGGACAUGCGUUGUAUUAGCUAGUUGGUGAGGUAACGGCUCACCAAGGCGACGAUACAUAGGGGGACUGAGAGGUCAACCCCCCACAUUGGUACUGAGACACGGACCAAACUCCUACGGAAGGCAGCAG